rnacentral:rRNA from 1 species
AAGCGCUUGCAACCAGACUUGCGGGCGGUCGAUCAUCCGAGGUUCUCCCCGGUGCACUCGAUCGUUCUCAGGCCAGCAUCGGUUUCCGGGGUGGGAUAAAGGCGGUGGGAAUG